GAGCCUAACAACUUAUCCUAAGCACAGGGUGGGUUUCCCCGACCUUCUCUGGUGCACCUAAUUAAAAAAGACAUUUUCUGCCAGUCCACCCUCACCAGUAUUUGGUAUUGGAUGGCUGAAGAGUUCCCUGUCUCCAUUCUCUGUUGAAAUUCCUCUUCUGAGACAUGCAGAGGCCUCAUCUCUGGAUCAUCUCUCUCUAAACCUUCUGAGAGGUCAAACUGUAGUUUGACCACUUCUCUAGCCUGUGCAAAGACACUACAGUGAGUAAGCAGGAACAGACAUCUACUGGGGAGCGUGAAGACACCAGGUGAUUCCUGCCUGGUUCAGCCGAGGAUCCAGCCCAUGAUCCCCAACAACCUGCCUACAACUAAUCCUGACACAAACCACUUAAUUCAAUGUGGAUACACAGCAGCAAGAAGGAAUCAGGCUCAGAUUUUACAGAUCAGGCACCAGUGGAAUCGAAUGAUUAACUUCAUCAGGAUUUCACAAGUUGGCCUGUGCUUGUCAGCAAUAAAGAGUGGCAUUUCAUUUCCCGAAUGAAAACACCAGUGUCCAAUUCAGCCAUUAAAAUCUUAGAAAAGUUUAUACUGAUAAAAAUCUGCUGUUG
rnacentral:lncRNA from 1 species